AAAUGGUGGGGGAGAACAGGUAGCUUUGCUGGAUAACCUUGGACUCUGCCUCGGUUUCCCCAUGUGCUGUCACGGCUCCCAGCAGGCUGUGGGAGGUGUCUGGAAGAGGUGCCCUCCCUCCUCCAGCUGCUGGCAGAACGAGGCCCGUCUUUGCUGCCUGCAUCCUGCUCUGGGACGCGAUUCCUCCAACAGGCGGCCUUGCGAAGCCGCAUGCCCAUGUCGGAGCUUUGGCUGGAGUCUGCUGGAGCCAGGGCAAGGAGGACACCCGAGCAAAGCCAAAACAAACUGCAGAGCUAGACAAAAGCGGGCAGUAGCAAAAGGGACCUGGGAGCUCUCCGUCUGAAAAGCAAGGAGGGCUGGAGUGAAGUGCCGAUAGCGGCUCUCCGCUGGAGCAGGAGCGGCAUGGUUUGGCUGUCCUGCUCCAGGGCCCACGUCAAUCAUUAAUGGAGGGUGAUGAAGACGUGUGUGACAUCCAUCAUUCUAGAGCUGCCUGUUCCAGGUUUACCUGUGUCACUCUCUAAGACAGAGGAGCAGAGAAACUGCCUAAGGAAAACCAGCAUUUUUUGGUAAGGAGUU